rnacentral:sRNA from 1 species
CACCGCCUGGGGAGUACGACCGCAAGGUUAAAACUCAAAUGAAUUGACGGGGACCCGCACAAGUAGUGGAGCAUGUGGUUUAAUUCGAAGAUACGCGCAGAACCUUACCAACACUUGACAUGUUCGUCGCGACUUUAAGAGAUUAAAGUUUUCGGUUCGGCCGGACGAAACACAGGUGCUGCAUGGCUGUCGUCAGCUCGUGUCGUGAGAUGUUGGGUUAAGUCCCGCAACGAGCGCAACCCUCACUUUUAGUUGCCAUCAUUUAGUUGGGCACUCUGAAAGAACUGCCAGUGAUAAGCUGGAGGAAGGUGGGGAUGACGUCAAGUCCUCAUGGCCCUUACGUGUUGGGCUACACACGUGCUACAAUGGUAUCUACAACAGGAAGCAAAACUGCGAAGUUAAGCAAAUCCUUAAAAGAUACCUCAGUUCGGAUUGCACUCUGCAACUCGAGUGCAUGAAGCUGGAAUUACUAGUAAUCGUGGAUCAGCGUGCCACGGUGAAUGCGUUCCCGGGUCUUGUACACACCGCCCGUCACACCAUGGGAGUUGGUUCUACCUUAAGGCAAGGUUUCAAACCCUUGACCACGGUAUAGUCAGCGACUGGGGUGAAGUCGUAACAAGGUAGCCGUAGGGGAACCUGCGGCUGGAUUACCUCCUUUCUAAGGAUGAAUGAAAUUUAAAUUUCAUUCUAAAUAAUAUACAGGUAAUGUUGACCGUCCUCAUUUCUCUUCUUAAAGUAGUGUUUCUCUUGCAUGGGGGCCGGUAGCUCAGUUGGUUAGAGCACACCCUUGAUAAGGGUGGGGUCGAAAGUUCGAGUCUUUCUCGGCCCACCAAUUUAAGAUCAUGGGGGAUUAGCUCAGCUGGGAGAGCGCCUGAUUUGCAUUCAGGAGGUCAGCGGUUCGAUCCCGCUAUCCUCCACCAAAACACUUAGUUAUAAAAAUUGUGAAUAAAUAAUAAUUAAUAUCAAUAUCUAUAUCCGAACAUUAGAAAUGUUAUUAGCUAAUGUUCAAAAUAAAAAUUUGAUUCAACACAGAAUUUUUUUCUG